rnacentral:rRNA from 1 species
UGGGGAAUAUUGCACAAUGGGGGAAACCCUGAUGCAGCGACGCCGCGUGAGCGAAGAAGGCUUUCGAGUCGUAAAGCUCUGUCCUAUGAGAAGAUAAUGACGGUAUCAUAGGAGGAAGCCCUGGCUAAAUACGUGCCAGCAGCCGCGGUAAUACGUAGGGGGCUAGCGUUAUCCGGAUUUACUGGGUGUAAAGGGCGUGCAGGCGGGCUGAUAAGUCAGAUGUGAAAUCCCCGAGCUUAACUCGGGAACUGCAUCUGAUACUGUUGGUCUUGAGUGCUGGAGAGGAUAGUGGAAUUCCUAGUGUAGCGGUAAAAUGCGCAGAUAUUAGGAGGAACACCAGUGGCGAAGGCGGCUAUCUGGACAGUAACUGACGCUGAGGCGCGAAAGCGUGGGUAGCAAACAGG